AUUGAACGCUGGCGGCAGGCCUAACACAUGCAAGUCGAACGAGUGGCGGACGGGUGAGUAAUGUCUGGGAAACUGCCCGAUGGCGGGGGAUAACUACUGGGAACGGUAGCUAAUACCGCAUACCAUCGGAUGUGCCCAGGUGGGAUUAGCUAGUAGGUGGGGUAAAGGGUCAACUGGGCGACGAUCCCUAGCUGGUCUGAGAGGAUGACCGGGCGCACUGGAACUGUGACACGGUCCAGACUCCCACGGGAGGCCGGGGUGGGGCAUAUUGGACAAUGGGAGCAAGCCUGAUGGUGUCAUGCCGCGUGUAUGGAGGAGGCCUUCGGGUUGUAAGGUACUUUCAGCCGGGAGGCGUUACCCGCAAAAGAAGCACCGGCUAACUCCGUGCCAGCAGCCGCGGUAAUAC
rnacentral:rRNA from 1 species